rnacentral:lncRNA from 1 species
UACAGUGAAUAUUCAUUGUUUAACCAUGGAAAUAAUUAACGUGAUGCAUGAAAAUAUGAUGAUUGGAUAUUGCAUGCAGGUUUGGCCCUACGACUUACCUUAGUAAUGGUGAAGAGGGUUAUUCUAGUAGACCUUAAUUCAAGAGUGAUACUAACAAGGCUAAAAACACUCAAGAUACUCAAAGAGCAUCAAAAGGUGACUUGGAGCAAAUUUCAAAUGACGUGAACACAAAUAGAGUUUCAAACCUAGAAAGUUUCAACAGACCAGUUACAAGAUCAA